rnacentral:rRNA from 1 species
UGGGGAAUCUUGCGCAAUGGACGAAAGUCUGACGCAGCAACGCCGCGUGAGUGAAGAAGGCCUUCGGGUUGUAAAGCUCUGUCGGGUGGGACGAAAAGUAAAGAGGUGAAUAGCCUUUUUAUGUGACGGUACCACUAAAGGAAGCACCGGCUAACUCCGUGCCAGCAGCCGCGGUAAUACGGAGGGUGCAAGCGUUGCUCGGAAUUAUUGGGCGUAAAGGGUAGGUAGGUGGUCUUAUUUGUCUGGGGUGAAAUCCUUGAGCUUAACUCAAGAAGUGCCCCAGAAACGGUGAGACUAGAGUUCUGGAGAGGGUCGUGGAAUUCCCGGUGUAGCGGUGAAAUGCGUAGAGAUCGGGAGGAACAUCAGAGGCGAAGGCGGCGACCUGGACAGGCACUGACACUGAACUACGAAAGCGUGGGGAGCAAACA